rnacentral:rRNA from 1 species
CAAUAGCGUAUAUUAAAGUUGUUGCAGUUAAAAAGCUCGUAGUUGGAUUUGUGGUGUACGCCGGCGGCCCGUCGCAAGACGGAGCUUGCUUGCGUCGCCAUCCUUGGGUGGAUCCUGUGUGGCAUUCAGUUGUCGUGCAGGGGAUGCCCAUCGUUUACUGUGAAAAAAUUAGAGUGUUCAAAGCAGGCUUAUGCCGUUGAAUAUAUUAGCAUGGAAUAAUAAGAUAGGACCUUGGUACUAUUUUGUUGGUUUGCGCACCAAGGUAAUGAUUAAUAGGGACAGUUGGGGGUAUUCGUAUUCCGUUGUCAGAGGUGAAAUUCUUGGAUUUACGGAAGACGAACUACUGCGAAAGCAUUUACCAAGGAUGUUUUCAUUA